UUGAAGUUUUAUUUAUUACUUUUUAGACUAAAUACAAAAGUUGAUAAAUAUUUUUUAAUGCACAAGGUGAAUAAGGAAAUAUAAUCCUUCCGCAGGUUCACCUACGGAAA
rnacentral:misc_RNA from 1 species